rnacentral:rRNA from 1 species
GACUAACGCUAACGGUGUGCUUAAUACAUGCAAGUCGAACGAGCAAUGUGAGAGUGGCAACACUCCUGCAAAGCUAGUGGCGAACGGGUGAGUAACGCGUAGGUAAUCUACCUUGAAGAUUAGGAUAACCUUCCGAAAGGAAGGCUAAUACUAAAUAUUUUAUAUUUUUCGUAUGAUUAAUAUAACAAAGGUAGCCGCAAGGCCUCCGCUUUAAGAUGAACCUGCGUCCUAUUAGCUUGUUGGUAAGGUAAUGGCUUACCAAGGCUAUGAUGGGUAGCCGGCCUGAGAGGGUGAUCGGCCACACUGGGACUGAGAUACGGCCCAGACUCCUACGGGAGGCAGCAGUAGGGAAUAUUGCGCAAUGGGCGAAAGCCUGACGCAGCGACACCGUGUGAAGGAUGAAGGUCUUCGGAUCGUAAACUUCUGUCAAUCGGGGACGAAGGUAAUAAGGUUAAUAGCCUUUAUUAUUGACGGUACCCAAUAAGGAAGUCUCGGCUAACUCCGUGCCAGCAGCCGCGGUAAGACGGAGGAGGCAAGCGUUGUCCGGAAUCAUUGGGCGUAAAGAGCGCGUAGGCGGUUUUUCAAGUCGUAUGUGAAAACUUCAGGCUUAACCUGAUGAUUGCAUAUGAAACUGGAUAACUUGAGUACAGCAGAGGAAAGUGGAAUUCCUGGUGUAGCGGUGAAAUGUGCAGAUAUCAGGAAGAACACCGGUAGCGAAGGCGGCUUUCUGGGCUGUUACUGACGCUGAGGCGCGAAAGCUAGGGGAGCAAACAGGAUUAGAUACCCUGGUAGUCCUAGCCCGUAAACGAUGGACACUAGGUGUGGGAAGUUAUCGACGCUUUCUGUGCUGUAGGUAACGCAUUAAGUGUUCCGCCUUGGGGAGUACGGCCGCAAGGCUAAAACUCAAAGGAAUUGACGUGGGCCCGCA